rnacentral:lncRNA from 1 species
AGAUUUGGGAAAUUAUCUGUUUUGCUAGAUGAAAAUCUUGAACUUUUGACAAAUCGUAUGAUGGAAGAGAAAAACCUAGAGAAGGAGAUUGAAAAUCUUGAAGAUAACCUACUAGCAAUGCUUCAGUGGAAGAUACUGCACUUAACAAAACAGAGAAACCUCUUUCUCUCAGUGGAGGAGAAAAGAAACAAAGAAGUGAAUGAAAGAAUAGAGGCUGGUAAAAAGAGGCAUGCUGAACUACUUCUGGAGGUGGAAGAYUUAGAGAAAGAACUUUUGCAGUCUGAAAACCAAGUCAAAGCCCUGAGUGAAGAAGUAAAUAAGAGGGAAACUAACUACAGGAAUUACAAGGAGAACUUUACUAACAAAAUAAAAUGUCUGGAGAACGACUUCAAAACUGCAACUGAAAAUCUGCAUCAAAAAGAACAAGAAUUAAACAUAAGCAGACUAACCUUGGAAGAAACCCAGAAAGAAUUAGAAGAGAAGCAUACAAAAUAUGAAGAACUCAGGAAAUCAGUUUUAAGUAAGUAUUUUGUAACUCUUCUGCAGAGUAGGACUUUCUCUUGCUUUCAGAAAGGAUUUU